rfam:Edwardsiella ictaluri 93-146, complete genome.
AAGGGUUGUCAGCGUACAAAAAACUGUGAUAACUCUGUAAGCAUCGUAUGUCAAAACAACAGAUUUCACUGUUUAUGAGCCUAUUCGUCCAAGUGAUUAGCCUAGUCGUGAUUAGUGUGGUGGUGAUUAUUAUACCACCGUGCGGGGCUGCACUUGGACGAAUAAGGGCUUAAAAAUCAAGCCAGAAUCAGAAAAGAGCCUCCGCACCAUCCGGUCCGGGGGCUCUUUUUUUACGCCGCGGCCGGCGGAGGCAGGGAUAGCUUGAAUCAGAAUAAAAUUCUGAAAACUAUGGUAU